rnacentral:rRNA from 1 species
GGGGGAAUUUUGCGCAAUGGGGGAAACCCUGACGCAGCAACGCCGCGUGAGUGAUGAAGGCCUUCGGGUCGUAAAGCUUUGUCAGAGGGAAAGAAGUGCAGUGGUGCUAAUACCAUCAUUGCUUGACGGUACCCUCAAAGGAAGCACCGGCUAACUCCGUGCCAGCAGCCGCGGUAAUACGGAGGGUGCGAGCGUUGUUCGGAAUUAUUGGGCGUAAAGCGCGUGCAGGCGGUCUUUUAAGUCUGAUGUGAAAGCCCCGGGCUCAACCUGGGAAGUGCAUUGGAAACCGGGAGACUUGAAUACGGGAGAGGGUAGUGGAAUUCCUAGUGUAGGAGUGAAAUCCGUAGAUAUUAGGAGGAACACCGGUGGCGAAGGCGGCUACCUGGACCGAUAUUGACGC